ACUUCUCUUUCAAAGAUGGACUGGGGAAAGACAUUAAGUUCGGAGCAGCCCAAGGCUGCGGAUCUAGCCUUUCUCCCUCCGGUCUCCAGACCCACGCAGGUUAAGGCAGCCAAGCAGAGACAGCGGAGCCCCGGUGCGUGGUUCAGGCCUGGUCAACAGGUAGGAGGGCCAGACUGGGGGCCAGGCACAGAGGAGGGCAGGCCCGCCCGCACCGGCGUCCAGGGUCCCGGGUUCCGGGUCCCGGGACUGGAGGAGGUCGCCGGCAGCCCGCCCUUCCAGAGGCUUGAGAUUGGGUGGACGAGACCUGAAGAUCCUCUCGGUCUGGACCCCGACUUUCGAUCUGCUUAGAGACCUAAGCCGCGAGCCUUUGCCCACACGGAGAAACGUACUAUCUAAUAUCUAACAACCCUGUACUGCAGUGUCUGGAGGUUGCGGGAAGGAGACAGUGUCUCCCUUUGGGAAAACUACUGAGGACUUCUGUAUAUCCUACUUCUUCUGGACUCCAUAAGUUACAGGACCGAAGGAAACUGAGAAAUAGAGAAAAGGUGCCGCUUGCCCCUUUAACUCCAGAAAAGGGUGGCUGCAGAUGGAGCAGCUUGGACUUUAUUUUUUACGUUGCGCGAAGCCCGCCGGCAGCGGCUUAUGCCAAUUGAUUUUCCCAGCUCCCAGCCCUGGAUGUCUAGCUAUCUCCAGGACAGUUUGUUUUUUUCUUUUUCUGUCUUUCUUUCUUUCCUUCAAUGUAUCAGAAGACCUGAAGCUCGCUGCCCGCGAGUUUCCUCCGAGUUCCCAGGUCAGCGGCGUUUGCGCUCCUCUCCCCCUCCUUUUCCCAGCCCGUUGCGCUUAAGUUCUUGAGUCUGGGGAGCCGGUUCAGUAACUCUGAAUUCAUUUUUAAGUGGCGUGCCCUGUUCCCCACCUUUUAACAAGAGGUGCACUUUAACACGCGAACCAGUAACACGAUCUACACGUUUACAAAUCGGCAAUGAAUUAAAACAACAACAGAAAAGCUUCAUGGAAAAA
rnacentral:lncRNA from 1 species